CAUCCCUCUAGGCUACAUAACAGAGAAUUUUGGCUAAUUUGGAGGUUGGUACGUGCCCGGUAGCUACCUUUGCCUCCACCAGAUUGUAGUUAUGAGAACUUCUGUGUUACCUGUGUAAGUUCUGGCAAAAGCAGCAUACCCGUAUGGGGUAUCUUUGUGAGUUUUGGCCAAACAGGGAAGUACAUGCAUGCCCAGUAGCUAGCCGUUCCUCCUCCCAGGCAUACUUUGUGAAAUUUUUUGGCCUCUUCCAGAGAGAGAGGGACUUGUGGAUUCGGUCCGCAGACCCCUUCAGGCUACGUACCCAAGAACUUUGGCCAAUUUAGGGGGGAGGUGCAUGCCAAGAGGCUUCUCUUGCCUCUGGCUGAUCUUGUUUGCCUAAACUUUGUGGCUAGCUCCAGAUACAGAUUUACUUUUGGAUCCUGUCCUCAGAUGGCUUCAGGGGAGGUACCUGAGAACUUUGACCAAGUUUGGAGGGAGGUACCUGCGCGGGUCCCUUCACUUCCCUUCGCUGAUCAUGUUUGGAAAAACUUUUGGGCUAGCUCCAAACAGAGAACUGCUUGUCAAUAGCAGCUGAAGACCCCUCCGCGGUAGGUCUCUCACAAGUUUGGCCCUACUUUGGAGGUAGCUGCAUGCCUGCUAGCUACCAUUGCUUCCUCCAGGGAAGCUUCUGGAAAUGUUUGGCAUUCUGCCUGAGAGAGGUUUAGCUCUGGGUACCAGCUGCAAAGCCCUUCAGGGUAGGGACAGCACAAGUUUGGCCAAGUUUAGAGGGAAGCGUAUGCCUGGUAGCUACCCUUGCCUUCUCACCUCGGCAUGCUUCUGCAAAAAAUCUGGCUUCCUCCAGGAGAGAUUUUCUCUUUGUGGGUCCUAAAGUCGCAUCCCUCUAGGCUACGUAACAGAGAAUUUUGGCUAAUUUGGAGGUUGGUACGUGCCCGGUAGCUACCUUUGCCUCCACCAGAUUGUAGUUAUGAGAACUUCUGUGUUACCUGUGUAAGUUCUGGCAAAAGCAGCAUACCCGUAUGGGGUAUCUUUGUGAGUUUUGGCCAAACAGGGAAGUACAUGCAUGCCCAGUAGCUAGCCGUUCCUCCUCCCAGGCAUACUUUGUGAAAUUUUUUGGCCUCUUCCAGAGAGAGAGGGACUUGUGGAUUCGGUUCGCAGACCCCUUCAGGCUACGUACCUGAGAACUUUGACCAAGUUUGGAGGGAGGUACCUGCCCGGGUCCCUUCACUUCCCUUCGCUGAUCAUGUUUGGAAAAACUUUUGGGCUAGCUCCAAACAGAGAAGUGCUUGUCAAUAGCAGCUGAAGACCCCUCCGCGGUAGGUCUCUCACAAGUUUGGCCCUACUUUGGAGGUAGCUGCAUGCCUGCUAGCUACCAUUGCUUCCUCCAGGGAAGCUUCUGGAAAUGUUUGGCAUUCUGCCUGAGAGAGGUUUAGCUCUGGGUACCAGCUGCAAAGCCCUUCAGGGUAGGGACAGCACAAGUUUGGCCAAGUUUAGAGGGAAGCGUAUGCCUGGUAGCUACCCUUGCCUUCUCACCUCGGCAUGCUUCUGCAAAAAAUCUGGCUUCCUCCAGGAGAGAUUUUCUCUUUGUGGGUCCUAAAGUCGCAUCCCUCUAGGCUACGUAACAGAGAAUUUUGGCUAAUUUGGAGGUUGGUACGUGCCCGGUAGCUACCUUUGCCUCCACCAGAUUGUAGUUAUGAGAAAUUCUGUGUUACCUGUGUAAGUUCUGGCAAAAGCAGCAUACCCGUAUGGGGUAUCUUUGUGAGUUUUGGCCAAACAGGGAAGUACAUGCAUGCCCAGUAGCUAGCCGUUCCUCCUCCCAGGCAUACUUUGUGAAAUUUUUUGGCCUCUUCCAGAGAGAGAGGGACUUGUGGAUUCGGUCCGCAGACCCCUUCAGGCUACGUACCCAAGAACUUUGGCCAAUUUAGGGGGGAGGUGCAUGCCAAGAGGCUUCUCUUGCCUCUGGCUGAUCUUGUUUGCCUAAACUUUGUGGCUAGCUCCAGAUACAGAUUUACUUUUGGAUCCUGUCCUCAGAUGGCUUCAGGGGAGGUACCUGAGAACUUUGACCAAGUUUGGAGGGAGGUACCUGCCCGGGUCCCUUCACUUCCCUUCGCUGAUCAAGUUUGGAAAAACUUUUGGGCUAGCUCCAAAUAGAGAACUGCUUGUCAAUAGCAGCUGAAGACCCCUCCGCGGUAGGUCUCUCACAAGUUUGGCCCUACUUUGGAGGUAGCUGCAUGCCUGCUAGCUACCAUUGCUUCCUCCA